UCCUUAAAAGCACGUGGCACAAUUGUGAAGCCUGCCUUCCUUCAAUUUUGCUACUGUUUCUCAAGCUCAUUCCCUCUAAUAGCACUGAUGUAUUUGUGAGCGCAUUAUAUCUGCAAAGGCUGUCGUCGCGGAACUUCGAAGCAGAAUAGUCAGGUUCGCGGCUCCGCUGAGUUUGCAUCUGUCGAGUUCGUUGUGUUAAGACGUCCGGACGUGUGUAUAAAACCCGUGUUUCGCGUUUUGGAUAUCUCCUUUUUUACUCUCCAAUGUGACGCACACUGAAAGUGGUGACACUGCUUCUUACUUCUGACUCUGCCGCUGCUUGCCAAACGGAAAUUUUCGGGAUAUGCAGCGUCGUGUCUAAUUGACCGAUUGAUCCCCGAGCCAACGGCGCAGAGCGCCGUUCCGGGCGUAAGCCCUGGGAGAGGGUACUAAUUCCGCCUGGC